rnacentral:tRNA from 1 species
ACUUUUAAAGGAAAACAGUCAUCCAAUGGUCUUAGGAACCAAAACUCUUGGUGCAAAUCCAAGUAAAAGUAAUG